AUUGAACGCUGGCGGCAGGCUUAACACAUGCAAGUCGAGCGGGUUGAUGGUGCUUGCACUAUCACUUAGCGGCGGACGGGUGAGUAAUGCUUAGGAAUCUGCCUAUUAGUGGGGGACAACAUCUCGAAAGGGAUGCUAAUACCGCAUACGUCCUACGGGAGAAAGCAGGGGAUCACUUGUGACCUUGCGCUAAUAGAUGAGCCUAGGUCGGAUUAGCUAGUUGGUGGGGUAAAGGCCUACCAAGGCGACGAUCUGUAGCGGGUCUGAGAGGAUGAUCCGCCACACUGGGACUGAGACACGGCCCAGACUCCUACGGGAGGCAGCAGUGGGGAAUAUUGGACAAUGGGGGGAACCCUGAUCCAGCCAUGCCGCGUGUGUGAAGAAGGCCUUAUGGUUGUAAAGCACUUUAAGCGAGGAGGAGGCUCUUUUGGUUAAUACCCAGAAUGAGUGGACGUUACUCGCAGAAUAAGCACCGGCUAACUCUGUGCCAGCAGCCGCCGUAA
rnacentral:rRNA from 1 species